GAUGAAGAACGCAGCGAAAUGCGAUACGUAAUGUGAAUUGCAGAAUUCAGUGAAUCAUCGAAUCUUUGAACGCACAUUGCGCCCGCCAGUAUUCUGGCGGGCAUGCCUGUUCGAGCGUCAUUUCAACCAUCAAGCCCCAGGCUUGUGUUGGGGACCUGCGGCUGCCGCAGGCCCUGAAAACCAGUGGCGGGCUCGCUGUCACACCGGGCGUAGUAGAUUUUAUCUCGCUCAGGGCGUGCUGCGGGUUCCGGCCGUUAAAAAGCCUUUUUUACCCAAGGUUGACCUCGGAUCAGGUAGGAAUACCCGCUGAACUUAAGCAUAUCAAUAAGCGGAGGA
rnacentral:misc_RNA from 1 species